rnacentral:lncRNA from 1 species
UAAAUGAGACAUGCAAGAUAAUAUUUAUUAAAUAAAUCAUAGGAGAACAAUGAUCGUCUGAGGGUUAGAUCAAAAAUUCAUAGGUUAGUGCCAUUGAACCCAUAAAUUGGAGCAAAAUCAAGAAGAAAAAAAGAAAUGACUACGAACAAGGACUAAAACCCCUAAUUUAAACCAAUCAAACAAAGAGGAUUCUAAAUAAUAGACCAAAUACUAUAAAAUCCUAGAAACCCUUAUGUAAAUCCAAAAAAAAUCCAACCUAAAAACAAUCGUCGGAUCUAGAUCGAACACCAACCCCA